rnacentral:rRNA from 1 species
UACGUAGGGAGCAAGCGUUGUCCGGAAUAAUUAGGCGUAAAGCGCGCGUAGGCGGCCCUGUAAGUCCGUUGUGAAAGUCAAAGGCUCAACCUUUGAAAGCCGAUGGAUACUGCAGGGCUAGAGUCCGGAAGAGGCGAGUGGAAUUCCUGGUGUAGCGGUGGAAUGCGCAGAUAUCAGGAGGAACACCGGUGGCGAAGGCGGGUCUCUGGGCCGAAAUUGACGCUGAGGAGCGAAAGCGUGGGGAGCAAACAGG